rnacentral:rRNA from 1 species
AUUGAACGCUGGCGGCAGGCCUAACACAUGCAAUUCGAGCGCGCGGAGGACGGGUGAGUAAUUUCUGGGAAUCUGCCUGAUAGAGGGGGGUAACUACUGGAAACGGUUGCUUAUACCGCAUACUUUCAGAUGUGCUCAGCUGGGAUGAGCUGGUAGGUGGGGUAACGGCUCACCUAGGCGACGAUCCCUAGCUGGGCUGAGAGGAUGACCAGCCACACUGGAACUGAGACACGGGCCAGACGCCUACGAGAGGCAGCAGUGGGGAAUAUUGCACAAUGGGCGCAAGCCUGAUGCAGCCAUGCCGCGUGUGUGAAGAAGGCCUUCUGGUUGUAAAGCACUUUCAGCGGGGAGGCGUUACCCGCAGAAGAAGCACCGGCUAACUCCGUGCCAGCCGCCGCGGUAAUUC